ensembl:snRNA U2 U2 spliceosomal RNA
AUCGCUUCUUGGCCUUUUGGCUAAGAUCAAGUGUAGUAUCUGUUCUUAUCAGUGAAUUUCUUAGAAAUUCAAAAUUUACUAAGUUGAUGUUGAUAUGCUUA